GGAGGUAGCACACCUGGUAGAGUGUGUGCCUUGCCAAGCACAAGGCCCUGGGUUUAAGCCCCAGCUCCA
rnacentral:tRNA from 1 species